rnacentral:rRNA from 1 species
AUUGAACGCUGGCGGCAUGCUUUACACAUGCAAGUCGAACGCAGCGCCGGCUUUCGCCUGGCCGCGCGGGGGGAAAGGGUGAGCAAUGCAUCGGAACCAUCCCAAUAUUGGGGGACAGGCCGGCGAAAGCCGGAAUAAUUACGCCAAUGACCCAUAGGAGCAAGGGGGGGACCCAAAGGCCCUUCGCCCCUGGCGCGGCCGAUGUCGGAUUAGCUAGUUGGUGGGGUAAAGGCUUACCAAGGCGACGAUCCGUAGCUGGUCUGAGAGGGCGACCAGCCACACUGGGACUGAGACACGGCCCAGACUCCUACGGGAGGCAGCAGUGGGGAAUUUUGGACAAUGGGGGCAACCCUGAUCCAGCCAUGCCGCGUGCGGGAAGAAGGCCUUCGGGUUGUAAACCGCUUUUGUUCGGGAAGAAAUCCUCUGGGCUAAUACCCCGGGGGGAUGACGGUACCGGAAGAAUAAGCACCGGCUAACUACGUG